rnacentral:rRNA from 1 species
AGCGAACGCUGGCGGCAGGCCUAACACAUGCAAGUCGAGCGCCCAGCAAUGGGAGCGGCAGACGGGUGAGUAACGCGUGGGGAUCUACCCAUUGGUACGGAAUAACCCAGGGAAACUUGGAUUAAUACCGUAUGAGCCCUUCGGGGGAAAGAUUUAUCGCCAAUGGAUGAACCCGCGUCUGAUUAGCUAGUUGGUGAGGUAAAGGCUCACCAAGGCGACGAUCAGUAGCUGGUAUGAGAGGAUGAUCAGCCACACUGGGACUGAGACAAGGCCCAGACUGCUACGGGAGGCAGCAGUGGGGAAUAUUGGACAAUGGGCGCAAGCCUGAUCCAGCCAUGCCGCGUGAGUGAUGAAGGCCUUAGGGUUGUAAAGCUCUUUCGCCGGUGAAGAUAAUGACGGUAACCGGAGAAGAAGCCCCGGCUAACUUCGUGCCAGCCGCCGCCGUAA